rnacentral:misc_RNA from 1 species
GUAUAUAUUAAAUAGGCACAACAUUCUAUUGACAUACAUUGGGGUAAAUGAAGCAACAUAGACCUGAAAGGCCUACAAAAAGUGCACAGGUGGAGAUAUAAAGAUGACAAGGCGUGCACAUGCUCCCUAGAGAACCAGCAACAACCCAUCAGGUUUAUUUCAAUAAUGAUCCUUCCGCAGGUUCACCUACGGAAA